AGCUGCUGCGGCACUGGGAGAACACUGCUGAGCUGUGCAGUUUGUACUGCCAGUGAGCGCGCAGAGAGGAGGAGGGGGAGCAAGAGAUAGAAAAAGAGAGAGAGAGAGAGAGUGCAGGAGAAUGAAGCAGGGAGAGAGAGCGAACAAUGUCAUUCCAUUCAGCAGGCAAUGCUGCAGUCAACUUUACAGCACCGGAGGAGAAGACACAGCCGCUUGUGCAUCAUCCCUGCAAGACCCAGAGAGGAGCGGAAGCUGAAAGCUGAAGCAGAGGGCGCUGUGCAGAGCAACCAGAACAUGCCUUGACUUGUACCCACUUCUCAGAAAGAAGUUGAGGCUUGUGGUCAGCAACAUUAACUGUGUUUGCCAUCUCAUCCAACUGACCAGUGAAAGACUGGAUAUUAGGAAACUGGAUAUUGGGACAGACUGAAGUGACAAAUAACUAUCACCCAAGUCUCUGCACUGGACCGGAAGUUUCCUGACCUCACCACUACUGAUUGGACUUCUGAUGUCGUCACCACCAGGAGAAUGAAGGAACAUAUCCAGAUGUCCUGCGGACGAUGAGAGACAAUGUGUCAGCAGUAAGGUGAGUGUCUGAUCCUGGUUAUUCAAUAUUUUUAACUUUCCUUGUUUCUAUACGUCAGUCUUUCUUAAAUUCAUUCUGGUAUGAACGGUAGCUGCAUUCUGAGCGCUUGGACAUAAUGAGAUUUAUCUAUGACAUAUGAUGGCAAAAAUGCUGAAAAUGCGGACUUAUUUUUAGAAAUGCUAAAGAAGGACAUUU